rnacentral:tRNA from 1 species
AGCUCUGGGGUGUUAACAUACCAGAUUGCAAAUCUGGAGAGGCAGGCUCAUCAACCUGCCAGAGCUU